rnacentral:rRNA from 1 species
UACGAAGGGGGCUAGCGUUGUUCGGAAUUACUGGGCGUAAAGCGCGUGUAGGCGGGUCUUUAAGUCAGGGGUGAAAUGCCAAGGCUCAACCUUGGAACUGCCUUUGAUACUGGAGAUCUUGAGUCCGGGAGAGGUGAGUGGAACUGCGAGUGUAGAGGUGAAAUUCGUAGAUAUUCGCAAGAACACCAGUGGCGAAGGCGGCUCACUGGCCCGGAACUGACGCUGAGACGUGAAAGCGUGGGGAGCAAACAGG